CCAAGAGGCAAAGCAAAUAUUAGUGUAACUAUUUCUUUGCAAAAAGAAGCCAUUCAACCCAAUGAAUUAGGGUCAACAGUGAUGGACGACGUUAGGACAAGCUGACUUCACAGGAAGUCAAUGUUUUCAGGCUCCUCUGAGUGGGUUCCUCUGCAGACUUGACUCCUCUGCUCAGCUUGAGGCUCCCACAAAGGAGGUGAUAGACCCAAGUGGAAAACGGAGAAGGACCCAUUUUGAAGAAAGCUGGAGGUUAAAAGCCCAAGGCUGAGAGAAGAGAAUCCUGGCUGAAGAUCUGCUGGGGACUUUCCCACGAACUCCAUCAUCUUCUCUCUGGAAAUGGGCUGUGACUAGAGACAUGGCCAGAAAAGAGAUGGGACCAGCAGCCAGGCAUGGAGCAGCCAGGAUUGCCUGCGCAGAGGCCCAGAAGCAGUUUUGGCAACAGAAAGAGAGAAACAAGUGAUCAAAUGAGAGAAGCAAUGCGACAUGCCAAGGUCACACUGCAGCCUAUGGCUCAUGUUGCAGAAGAUGCUCUUGCCUAUAAUCCCAGCACUGUGAGAGGCUGAGGCAGGAGGAUCACAAGUUUGAG